UUUCUCCUAAGCUUAUUAUUUACUAGGGUCGGUUCCUCUACCUUUGGAAACUCCUGGCAGGCAAACUCUGUGUGAGGAGGGUGUCUGGACUCUGGAGAGGCUUUUCCCGUGGCUGGCUUGCUCCUGUGCUCCGAUUCGGAGAUCAGAUGUAUAUUGUCUCCAAA